GUUAAAUAAGCUAGCGGGUUGGAAACCCUUGGAUGAUAGUCUGUUUUUAAAUAGUUAAUCUCUCGUAUAAAGGACAAUGGUGUUUUCUUUCUAAUGGACGGUUAUCUACAGUUUGGACACAUAAAAGACGGUCCAGAUUGAACCAUUAGUAUGUACGAUAAUCUACAUUUUAGAUGCAUAAAACACGGUCCAGAUUGAGUUACUAAUAUAGUAAUAUGUGUUUUUCCAACUGGGCGGAGAUUUAUUGGAGAUGAUCUACAUUUAUUGGAGAGUUAUUCUUCUACUUCACUGUGAAACCAUUUUUUUUCCAUUCAUCAUAAUGGAAACACCUUUUCUCUAAUCUCUUCCAUAAUCGAAACAAAUCCCGGUUGUCAUUCUAUUGUGCAGCUCUGUUAAUCCCAGAUUUACAAUCAUAAGUACAUGCUUGGACGACUUAAUAAAAGGAACAUUACAUCGGAAAUAUCCCGUUUUCUCUAGAUGACAGAGGAAAUUAUGCUCCUAAGCAGCAAAGGGAGUAUGCACCACCUGAGCAUAUGGGAUUGAUUUGAAGUUUCUAAAUUGUAGGACUACCUGCAACUACAGGUUGGGCCAGACCCGAAGGAUAAUGUUGAGUUGCCAAGUGCAAUACAGAGAAUAGAGAUGCACCCAUUUAAAGGACUUGAUUUCACAAAUCUAUCCAGGAACGGAGAAAAAUAGAAUGUUGACGACCAACUAAUAGACAGAAAGGACUAUUUUGUCUUCGAGGAAUUAAUACGUUGCUGCAAUGAAUGGGAUGAUCCUCAAAAUGUACAGAGACCGUAACUACUCUUACCUAGCAGCAGAUAAAAUGGCAGAGAACUUUGAAAAGGGUCCGAUAAGAAAUACAGGAUGUCCAACUGAGUGUUUGAAUGCCAUGAAACCACCCGGAUUUCCACCGUUAAAGUCGGACCCAAAAGUAGAGUGUGCGGCGAUGAUUCUGCAGAAUGUCGCAUCGACGAAUAGGAUGUGCAACGAGACCAGAAUAAGGGUACAGUGAUGUGCACCUCAUGUACUAUAAGCAACAUUGACUACAUGGAGAAUUCGCUUAUUGAUUGAGCUCUUAACGGGAGACAAGCAGGAAGAAUUUUUUUUCAUUCCACGGAUAUCAUUGACUUCAUCGUCAUCAACCAGGAGACAGUUCCCAGUUCCCAGAUAGGCUAGCAUAUACAAUGACAAUAAACAAAUCAAUCACGGGGACAAAAAAAAUACCAACGCGGAUUUUGGUGGCAAAAAUGGAUUGUAUGGACGUCUACUUUUGUUUUAGUUGGAUUCGAAAUUUGUGUAUUGGAUUAACUAUUAUGGCUUCCUUAUACUUCAAAGACUUUUGUUUUGAUUUUGGUGUCAUUAAGCUUUAGCAAUUCAUUAAAAAAAUUAUGUUG